rnacentral:rRNA from 1 species
UUGGGACAUAAACUGGUUGAUCCCACGCUUCCAAGAAAAGCCUCGUAGCGAAUCUAUUUGGUGACCGUACCGCAAACCGACACAGGUGGGCGAGGAGAGAAUCCUAAGGCGCUUGAGAUAACUCUGGUUAAGGAACUUUGCAAAAUUGCACCGUAACUUCGGGAGAAGGUGUAUUCCGGCGCGUGUAAGAACUUGCUUCUGAAGCGUUCUGGAAUCGCAGUGAAGAGGGAGUGACGACUGUUUACUAAAAACACAGGGCUCUGCAAACUCGUAAGAGGAUGUAUAGGGUCUGACGCCUGCCCGGUGCUGGAAGGUUAAGGGGAGAUGUUAUUCAAGGAAACGAGGAGAAGCGUUGAACCGAAGCCCCAGUAAACGGCGGCCGUAACUAUAACGGUCCUAAGGUAGCGAAAUUCCUUGUCGGGUAAGUUCCGACCUGCAUGAAUGGCGUAACGAUUGCUCCGCUGUCUCAACCAGGGACUCAGCGAAAUUAUAAUGGGGGUGAAGAUACCCUCACCCCGCGGCAAGACGGAAAGACCCCGUGAACCUUUACUAUAGCUUGACAGUGAACUUCGGAAUAUCAUGUGUAGGAUAGGUGGGAGGCUAUGAAGCGUUGGCGCUAGCUGGCGCAGAGCCAACCUUGAAAUACCACCCUUGUUGUUUUGAGGUUCUAACUCUGGCCCGUAAUCCGGGUCGAGGACACUGUCUGGUGGGUAGUUUGACUGGGGCGGUCGCCUCCCAAAAUGUAACGGAGGCGCACGAAGGUCGGCUCAGGCUGAUUGGAAACCAGCCGAUGGGUGCAAAGGCAUAAGCCGGCUUGACUGUGAGACCUACAAGUCGAGCAGGAACGAAAGUUGGUCUUAGUGAUCCGGUGGUUCCAUAUGGAAGGGCCAUCGCUCAACGGAUAAAAGGUACUCCGGGGAUAACAGGCUUAUCUCCCCCAAGAGUUCAUAUCGACGGGGAGGUUUGGCACCUCGAUGUCGGCUCAUCGCAUCCUGGGGCUGAAGUAGGUCCCAAGGGUUUGGCUGUUCGCCAAUUAAAGCGGUACGUGAGCUGGGUUUAGAACGUCGUGAGACAGUUCGGUCCCUAUCUGCCGUGGGCGCAGGACAAUUGCGAGGAGCUGUCCCUAGUACGAGAGGACCGGGAUGGACGGACCUCUAGUGCACCAGUUGUCACGCCAGUGGCAUGGCUGGUUAGCUACGUCCGGAAGAGAUAACCACUGAAAGCAUCUAAGUGGGAAGCUCGCCUCAAGAUUAGUUGUCCCGUCUGGUAGCAAUACCGGGCUAAGAUCCCAGAUAGACUAUCUGGUUGAUAGGCCGAUGGUGUAAGCACAGUGAUGUGUUGAGCCUACCGGUACUAAUAGAUCGAGCGGCUUGACC